rnacentral:rRNA from 1 species
AAUCCGGUUGAUCCUGCCGGACCCCACUGCUAUCGGGAUAGGACUAAGACAUGCUAGUUGAGCGCUUCCAGCCAAAACGGGAGCGCACGACAGCUCAGUAACACGUGGCUAAUCUGCCCUUGGGACUGGAACACCCCCGGGAAACUGGGGCUAAUUCUCGAUAGGUGAAGAACUCUGGAAUGAGUCUCCGCCUAAAAGCCAUUUGGAUCAUGCUUCCAAGUGGCGCCCAAGGAUGGGGCCGCGACCGAUCAGGUUGUUGGUGAGGUAAUGGCUCACCAAGCCUAUAACGGGUACGGGCCCUGAGAGGGGGAGCCCGGAGAUGGGCACUGAGACAAGGGCCCAGGGCCUACGGGGCGCAGCAGGCGCGAAACCUCUGCAAUGCACGAAAGUGCGACAGGGCCACCCCGAGUGCUAGGCGCUGAGUCUAGCUUUUCCCGAGUGUAGUAAGCUCGGGCGAAUAAGCGGGGGGCA